GCGUGCACACUUCUGUUGAGGACCAAUGAGCAGAUACACAAGAGAAGGUGGUGAUCAGUUUUUUUUCUUCUCCCCAAACUGGUGCAGGAGUUUGGACAGGCAACCUUCCAGUUACAAACAGGCUGAUGUUGGUCCCCAUGUGCAGCUUAAACUAUCUGCAACCUGACUGAAGAAAAAUCCUUAAAACCUCUGUGAUGAAAAAGACAAAAAAGAUUUCAGGUACAGUCUGAUGCGCUUGUGAUGCGGUUGGAAAGCUGGUUACCUGGCUGUGUGAUCUGUGCGUCACUCGAACAGCUCUACCCUCCCUGCUCCAACUGGCUAACAGCUAAAAUACCUUAUUGAGGAGGAGGCUGAACAGACUGCGUGACAGGACAAGGCGGGACCAAACAGACGGUACUGGGACGCUGCACAAGACCACCAUUAAGACUGCAGGAGAGAGAGUGUGUGAACAAGCAUGAUGAAUACGUUUGUGACCGCUGUGACACAGCACCCUUUUUGUCACCCAAUGUUAUCUUAAUUAUACUAAACUUGGUAGAUGAGAAGUAGCCAAACUCCGGCCUGGUCUUUAAAGCCAAGACUUGCUAUAACCCCAUCUAUCUUCCCAGAUUUGGCAAAGGUAGACUAACCACACCACAGGGUAGCAAACAAACCACCUUGACAGAUGUCCAAAUUACAAGUAAACAGCCUAGCAGGGGAGACAAACAAAUGACCAAAGCAGGGAGGGGAGAGGCAAGAAAGGCUGGGCUUGCCAGCAGCCAUACUGAAAUAGCACGGCAGCGUGAGUCACGGUGUGUCAAUGUCAGGGAGCCAGUUGGGCACAUAUAUUCAUCUUUUUAAGGUGGAACACCACUGGGACAAGCAUGGCGCUUCUGGCAGAGGGAGGCAGUCACUCAGCCCCUCAAAGAGCUACGUGAGUGGAAUACAGCCAGCAGAUUCUGGGCCACACACUAUAUUCAUGACCCCCUGAAUCUCUGCAAUUAAAUGUCCACUCUGACAGUGCAAUUGAUCUUUUUUCAUCCCUUUACAACAAUCAGUUGUUAUUCACCAAUGUCCUUCCCAUCAUAAACAUAUACUCUGCAGCCUGGCUGGUGUCAGUUACACCAUGCAAUAAUGAGUUCAGAGGUAGCAUCGUUACAAGCGUUGUCGGUCAUCAUCCAGUUCUAUCUGUUGUCUUGUUAUACCGUGAAACUGGUUUGAUUGCUUCCUCUGACCAAGCACAGUGCAUUUUCAGCUGCUCCUGCCCUGCAUGCCUUCCAUGCUGCAGAAUAAAUAAUAAAGAGGCAAAUGCAAGGA